rnacentral:rRNA from 1 species
GAUGAACGCUGGCGGCGUGCCUAAUACAUGCAAGUCGAGCGAAUGGAUUAAGAGCUUGCUCUUAUGAAGUUAGCGGCGGACGGGUGAGUAACACGUGGGUAACCUGCCCAUAAGACUAGGAUAACUCCGGGAAACCGGAGCUAAUACCGGAUAACAUUGUGAACCGCAUGGUUCGAAAUUGAAAGGCGGCUUCGGCUGUCACUUAUGGAUGGAACCGCGUCGCAUUAGCUAGUUGGUGAGGUAACGGCUCACCAAGGCAACGAUGCGUAGCCGACCUGAGAGGGUGAUCGGCCACACUGGGACUGAGACACGGCCCAGACUCCUACGGGAGGCAGCAGUAGGGAAUCUUCCGCAAUGGACGAAAGUCUGACGGAGCAACGCCGCGUGAGUGAUGAAGGCUUUCGGGUCGUAAAACUCUGUUGUUAGGGAAGAACAAGUGCUAGUUGAAUAAGCUGGCACCUUGACGGUACCUAACCAGAAAGCCACAGCUAACUACGUGCCAGCAGCCGCGGUAA